CAGGUCCAUUGACUUCAGCAGAUGAUUGACACCAGAUGGCCCACCAUGUUUGAUAUUAUUACAUUAAGAUCUGGUGAAGCCUCUCCAUUUUGUCCAGAUGUAUCUUGUGGCCCAGAAAGAGUAUUUUCUCUGCCCACACAUGUCAUCUUCCCCCGGCUCUAUCAAAAGUGUCCAGAGCUGUCUUCUCAAAAGUGCCCCUCAUCCCCGGUGGGAAACUAUGCAGCAACAUCUGCAGCUGUGGCACUUGUGUUUGCAGACACAACAGUCCCAUAUGAGGCUGCCCACAAAGUUUUCACAGAUAACUUCAGUUGAAUGUGUUUUUCCUGGUGUUUCAGAGAUCCCAGGAAAACUGGCUGGACCUUUUAAUUGCACCUAAUGGAUAUACCUGCAUAUAAUUUGAAACACUUGCCUUUUUCAGAAUAACUUUAUUA